UGACACUUUCUUCAAAAAAAAAAUAUGUCCUACUUUCUAAAGCUCAACCUGCAUGCUUAGGGAAAAUAAUGCUAGAUGUAGAUCGUAGCCAAAUUGGAUUAAAAAAAAGAGAAGAAGCUCCUACAUUAUAAUCUUUAUGGGUGUAUAUGUACAUACAUAUGUUCAAAAGGGCGUAGGACCAUUUGAAGUGGGACCAUAUUAAAUAUUUUGUCGUAGAGAAAUCUUUACUUUGAAGCAUGUAGAGGCGGUGGAAGCUAAUAACAAGCCAAAAAGUUUUUUUCUCUGCUUAUCUCAUUUUAUCUCCACAACGUUUGCUACCAAAAAUUUUCAUAAAUAUUUCUCGUCCUCUUUUUAGCUCCCAAACUCAUUUUCUCUUCUUCUCAAGCUUAAGUAAGGAACCAAGUCAAAUAUUCCAUUUGCACUCCAUGAAACGUACUGAAUCCAUUCUUGGGAGUUAAGAGAAAAGUUUUCUUUUUGGAAAAUCAAGAGGUAGUUGUAUCUCUUCAAUUAAGAUUAAUUACUUAAAGGAAAGGUCAAAUUGUGGUACUAUGUAGUAUUGAUUGGGAAACAAGAUAUGUAAGGCUAAAACCUCUUUCGCCCGCUUCACACAACCUUCUUAUCACAAGUAUCUUUUAUACAAGUCAAUAAGUACUUAAACAUAAAGUACAAAGAGUUUAUUAAGUUACAUGUUGCAUCUACCCAUGUCUCAUUUGUUUAACUGUCAAAAAAUGCUCAUAUGUCUCAUUUGAAUAAAUGUUGCAUCCACGCAUAUGACUCAUUUUCUUAAGCAUCGCACUUGUCUAAAAGGUUUCACUAGUUCACAUGUCAGCUUACGUGUCUCAUCUGCACUCAUUUGGUUAUAUGCUGUAAUUUCUCAGAUUGUUACGUUCUUUUGUCACUUGUUGUCGCUCCUUUCAUGUCUCUCAAUAUUUACAUCAUCUAUUUGAGGAGUUUAUAUGCCUUCACUUAAAAUGUACAUAUUUCUUCAUUUGGAUUACUCAUUCAUCUUUUUUAGAAUAUCUAUCUCCCUUGUUUGAAUUAUCUAAUCCUAUGUGAAUCACCUGCUUACUGUAAGAUAACUUGCACACUUACUCUGCGUGUUUAUGUCCCAUUUGCUACACGCCCUUGUAAACUUAGUUGUCACAUGUUUCAUGGCUAAUUUAGUUAUAAGUUUUAUUCCCAAUGAGGCUCAUUUGCUGUUUGAUUAUUUGAGGGGGUGGAAUUGUUCUAAUAUGAAACAACUAACCCAAUUAAGGGAAAUACGGGUAACAUUCAUAUGUGAUCUUUGAAGUAUGUGAUCUCGUGCCCCAGGUCUUGUUGGAAGAUCGUCAUGUGUUAUAUGGAGUAGAUUUCACGUGCUAUGUCGAACGUGGCAGAUCCUCGUGUGUUAUAUGGAAUAGAUUUCAUGUGCUAUUCUAGAUGUGGUAGCUACUCAUGUGUUAUACAGAACAGAUUUCAUAUGCUAUGAUAGACAUGGCAGGUACUCCUGUAUUACAUGAAAUAGGUUUCCUGUGCUAUGCCAGACGUGGCAGAUACUAAUAUGUUAUAUGGAACAAAUUUCAUGUGCUAUGCCAGACGCGGUAGAUCCUCAUAUGUUAUAUGGAAUAUAUUGAGUGUGCUCUGCCAGACAUGGCAGAUUGAGUGUGCUGUGCCAAACAUGGCAGAUCCUCGUGUUACACUGAACAAAUUUAAUGUGCUAUGCCAGACGUGUCCGAUCCUCAUGUGUUAUGUGGAACAGAUAUCAUGUGCUAAUACAGACGUG
rnacentral:lncRNA from 1 species